CCGUGACGUCAGCGCACGUCCUCUGGGCUAGCGCGCGGGGGACCGUUGGCGGUCGCGGCGCGCGCUCGCAGGCUCUGGGGGGCGCGCGACAAGGCUGCCAACAGCCGUUAACGGUCGCGGCGCGCGCUCGGCCCCGCCGAGGAGAGAAGCGCUGGGCGGGCGGCGACAGGCGGCGCGAAGGGGCGGGGCGCGUUGCCUGGGAGCGCCGUACACAGACCCCAAACAGCGCCCGGCCGCGGGGUGCGGGGCUCCGUCACGAGGCGCUCCGCCCGGCCCCACCCCGGGCCUCGAGAAGCGGACGGGCGAGCGAGUUCCGCGCCUCAGAGGGAGCGGGCUGCGGUGCGGAGGCAGCGGCGGGAGGCGCCGGGACGAAGCUCCUUACAUAAGCGAGGAGCGCCCGUGUCGCGCACCCCGAUUUUGUACGCGCCCCGGGCUUUCGAAACGUGCCGGCUGACAGCGCGGAGCUGCCUUGCUCCUGCUCUUAGCGAGCCUGGAAUCACCACAGAAAGCUUUAACGCUAAGAGUCUCUGAGGCGUUCAAGGUUUUCCCCAGACAAGAUGCCUUCUCAGACAAAAUUUGAAGUCCUGCUGGAAAGCGGAGGAGAUGAAAUACCUUACCUGCCAAAAUUCUUCCGAAGGGUAGCAGGAGGCUCACAUGCUCUCAGCGCACAUCUUCAGCAAAAAGUGUGCACAGCCAGUACAUAAUGGAAUAGUGGAAGAUAGAUCCAUCUGAAAAAGGCCUCAGGAGGUCAUCUUUGCCAUUACCUUAUCUCCAGGCAGGACUGACCUCUGAAUUUGAAACAGUCUUCUUAGGAGAAUUCGUUCAGUGCAAAGAAAACGUUCAGUGACUUGAAAUAUUUCUGUAUGUAUAUCAUCUAGUCAACAAAACUGCUGAAAAAACAUCACCGUGUGAUCUUCGUGGAUGUGUGGGAGAAGGUAUCACAGCUGUCAGGGAAUGACUGUACCACUCCUUGCUGGAAAGAAGUCAAAUGUUUCAGAAGCAGUCAUUUAUAGUCUGGUGGGAUUUCUGCUAAACACACGGGAUGUACAGACUGUCGAUAACUUCCAGGAAGAUAACUGCUGAUUCAUCCUGGCAGUACCCGCUCUCAGGCUGAGCUCUCCCUAGAUCCCAAUCAGCAGAAAGGCUCCCAGCUACAACACUGACACCAGCUCAGAGGAUUCUACUUUGAAAUUCUCACAUAAGCUGAUGGUCUACAAGCAAUCACUGCAUCUCAGGCUGCUUUAGAAGUGUGAGAAACAACUAGAAAGCCAAAGUCUUCCGGAAAGAUUCUUCUGCCAUUUGGCACAUCUGUGGUGGAAAACAAAACCAGCCAUAUUUAUACACAAUUCUGUCACCUGCAAAUACAAGUAUUUGGCCAAAAACAAUCCUCGGAAAUCAAGCCUACAGUAUUCACCACUCCCACCCUUUACAAGGGAUGCAAAGUCAUCUUGCCAGAGUUUUGCUUACUGAUGCUCAAUCUGAAGCCUAUUUAGGAAUCCUUGCAUUUUUGCAAAUAGACAAGUCUAGAUAUCUUAUGUCAACAGUUUUGAAAGGUUUGAUCCCACUGAGGAUGUUUCAGGUACACAAAGUUGCCAAACAUUUUAGCUGCUCAGUGAUAGCACAAAGCGCUCUACACUUUCCAGGAUUAGGUCACAACCCUCCUUUUGCUGUUAUUGAUUAAAGCUCUUUGUUUCUUUGCUUCCCUCCCCCUUUCCCUAUCUGAAUUGUCACAGCUAUCAGGUGCAUCUAUCCUCUGUGCACACACUGGAAAUUGAUACUAUUGGAGACACAUGAAGAAAAGAGAAAGGGGAACAUUCAGCAGCUAUCAGCAAAUCUAACCAGAAUUCAAAAAGCUUUUCCACAGAUCGACCUAAAUGAGAGAGAGGUUUUGUUUUUUUCCCUUUAUAAGCAUUGUUGAGGAUCAGAGCAGUAAGAGAUGUUUAGUAUUAGAACUCCUUUCUAAACUCCAAAAAUUAUGCACAAAACACCUAAACACUAAAACACGUUAUAGGAACCCUUCCAUGCAAUAAUCUGUGCCAACAGCUGGAGGAUGACAGUAGAUAAGUUUGUGUUUUCAAGCAGCAGUGCCCUUUGCCUUACUGCAGCUCACCAUAAUUAAGGCCCUGAGUAAGGCCAGAUUCACCAGCACAUUAAAGAGGAGCUAUUUUUGUAUGUGAACGCAAAUGAACAAAUGUAAUUUCUAACCAUUAACCUCCUGGAGAAGACAGCAAGUGAGCUCAAGGAUGAUUAGUGAUUUUCAUUGUUUCUAGGGAAACUUUGCCAGGACCUAAAUGUAUACAGAAAGUCAGUGCAUCGCCUGACUCAGGUCUAAAUCGGCAAUGAGCCCAUUACAGAAAUUCUGCCUCCUCAAAACUGGUAUCCUUGGUGUGGAGAAGAUGCUGAGAAGCUCAUGGAGCCAAUUCCUAAGUCCUUUCCUUUGCAGAUUCCCACUUAUGCAGAGCUCGAUACUUUGGGCUUACUGCUCUGAUGAUUCAGAGAUGAAUUCCAGCAAGAACUUCAGUACACAAGGCUCGCUGGGAAGACCCACUCCUUAUCUCCACUUCUGAAAUACAUGAACUCUAGACUGAUGGAGAAGGUCUGAGUAGACAGGGAAGAUAUUAGGCUAAAGAUCUCUCCUGCUUUUGACAGUCAAAAAGAACUGCCAGCAUGGAUGUAAGGAGCACUAUCUGCUGAGCGUGCCCAUGAAGCUCCUGUGUGACUUUCCAGUGACAGGACUCGAGGGAAUGGCAUGGAGCUGCAUCAGGAGACAGUUGAGUUGGUGUUAGGAAGAGGUUCUUUGCUGAUAGGGUUGCUGGGCACAGCACAGGCUCCCCAGGGUCACGACCCUGAACUGCUGGAGUUCAAUGAGCACUUGGCCACUGCUUUCAGACAUAGGGUUUGGAUUUCGAGUGGUUCUGAGUGGAGGCAGGGAUUGACCUUGAUGAUCCUUGUGGGUCCCUUCCACAGCCAUUCCUUGAAGCAAGACUACCACCACGCACAGUCAUUGUACUAGCUUAACAGCCAACACAGUGCUAAAUAAAUCAGCGGGUAGAAAAGUAAAGGACCUGAACUGCAAAAGCCAUACCUUGUGGGUCAUAACCAAUAAGGUCUUGGCAACCUUACCUAAAACCAGCCUGCUGCAUGUGACAGUGAGAUUUGCUUUUCCUCUGUUAUGGAUUUAGACAUCCUAACUGGAUAUGAGCAUGUAUGAUUUUACUAAACAUGCAGUCUACUGAGACACUACUUACAAAGGAACAGAAUGAGAGUUUUCCCCCUCUACCAAAUUCUACCAAGCUUUUGCAAGAGCUGGUUUAGAGAGAUAGAGGCAGACAGCAAGUUAGAGAAGACUGCAUUGAAUAUGAAAAAUGAGGAAGCCUGCUUGCAGGGAAUCUGGAUUUUGUACUCUGGGAGGAAUACGAGCACUUGAAUUCAAGCCAAAUUUAAUAAUGCAUUCCAGUGAUCUGCUUUCUUUUUUUUAUUUAUUAAAGAAAGCAUGAAAGAUCUACUAAGUUGUAAUGCGUAACCUUUGGUCUAAUUCUUUUGUAUUUGACUCUGCUGUCCCAUUUAGGUACAGCCUUGUUUCUGUUUUUUUUUUAUUAAUUAAUAAUAUAAUUAUUCUAUUAUAUUAUUGCUGGGACAACUUAUCCAUUCUACAGAAAUUUAAAAUUUAGUGAAACACAACAAAAUCCAUCUUCUAACCCUCAACCUGAAAUUUCCAUCCAUAGCAGAUGAAAAAGUUGAAAACUCGAACGCUUGGAAACAGUCAAAUGUUUACCUUCAACAUAUUCAUUUGUGAGAGAUGUUUUCAAACAGAAUCACGGAAGGCCUGAGGUUGGAAGGGGAGGUCAUUCUGUCCAGCUAAAAACAGGGCCCACAAGACCAGGUUGCUCAGGACAUCUUCUGGUCAGAUAUUUUAAUAUCUCUAAAAACAGUUCUCCAUACAACGUUCCCAAACGUACACGUAACAGUGCUUUAAAAGGUUAUUUAAAAACCAAAACUUGCAGCUUCAUUUCAAAGAAUGCAAAGAAGUCUGUUUCAUAACUCUGUAAAAUAUUUCCCCACAUGCAGAAACGUGAAAUAAAAAAACCCUUUUCCCUGCAAUGACUGCACUUUUAAUGCCGUUCAAGUUCUCAAUUUCAUUCUCCAAUUAAAAUUUUGAAGUUCAGUCCUAUAAAUAUCCACCUUGAUCUGAUAGGAACAUCUUAAAAGAAAACCAGCA